rnacentral:rRNA from 1 species
AAUUAACGCUGGCGGCAUGCGUAACACAUGCAAGUCGUGCGAGAAACCCCGGUUCGCCGGGGGAGUAAAGCGGCGCACGGGUGAGUAACGCGUGGGUAAUCUACCUCUAUCUGGGGGAUAACUCAUCGAAAGGUGGGCUAAUACCGCAUAAUCCGGCGAGUCUUCGGUCUUGCCGGCAAAGGUGGCCUCUACACGUAAGCUACCGGAAAGAGAUGAGCCCGCGUCCCAUUAGCUUGUUGGUAGGGUAACGGCCUACCAAGGCGACGAUGGGUAGCUGGUCUGAGAGGGCGGCCAGCCACACUGGAACUGGUCAACGGUCCAAACUCCUACGGGAGGCAGCAGUGAGGAAUAUUGCGCAAUGGGGGAAACCCUGACGCAGCGAUGCCGCGUGGGUGAAGAAGGCCUUCGGGUCGUAAAGCCCUGUCAAGCGGGAAGGACAGCUUCAAGGCGAAUAACCUUGAGGUGUGACGGUACCGCUGAAGGAAGCACCGGCUAACUCCGUGCCAGCCGCCGCCGUAACAC